CGGACGGGUGAGUAAUGUCUGGGAAACUGCCCGAUGGAGGGGGAUAACUACUGGAAACGGUAGCUAAUACCGCAUAACGUCGCAAGGCCAAAGAGGGGACCUUCGGGCCUCUUGCCAUCGGAUGUGCCCAGAUGGGAUUAGCUAGUAGGUGGGGUAACGGCUCACCUAGGCGACGAUCCCUAGCUGGUCUGAGAGGAUGACCAGCCACACUGGAACUGAGACACGGUCCAG
rnacentral:rRNA from 1 species